rnacentral:lncRNA from 7 species
GUCUCAAGCUACAAACUAAAAAUUUUCAAAAGAUUGAACUACUGUAGACAGAUGCCAGAAGCUCAUUAGAAAACAUUUGUAAUAAAAGUGAAAACAAUAAUAUACAUUUUUCAGACAAGCUAUUUAUAUAUAUUGUAGGUUGUAUUUAUAUGUAUAAUAGGUGCAAUUCAAAAUUACGGGAUCAAAUCCAGACCUUGAGUUCUUUUAGCAACAAGGACUCUCUAAAUCCAAGAGGUGCAUGUUUUUAUAUACUGAUUCUUGGCCCUCCGCACAAGAAUCUGCAAGAGGUCCCCUAAGAGGUGCAUGUUUUUAUAUAUCACAAGACGUGCAUGUUAGAUUUAGGGUACACACAAUCAAGAGUUACAGGCUAGAGUUGUGGCAACAUAAAAGCAUGUCUGCACCUACAAACCCAUAAAAGAUAAUACAUAUAUUUUGGUGGAAACAUUUACAGACGCAUGUCCAACAAAUUACCUCUUGUGAUUGUGAUCUCAGCAGGUUACGACUAAGGACCAAAUCGGAUAUGAAGCGAAGUGACUUAUAGUAGAUUUUAAUGCUUCCAUGAUUUUAAAUCUGCGGUGAGUCACAAGUCGGAUUGAGCUCAAAAUUUAAGGAGAUCUUAGAAACGUAUUUGCUCAGAUGUGUGUAAAAUUUCAUAUCAAUCGGAGUUCGUUUAGUUCAGUUUUGAACUCAAGAACAGAAUUUCGUACUACUGAAAACAACACUUGUUGACGAUACUGUAUUGGAUCAUUUUGGACUUUUUGGUGUCCGAUUUGUGAUCCGUUUGUUUUGAUAGUCUCAUGUGAGUAUUAGGAACGUUUUGUAAUCAUGAGAUCACUCG